rnacentral:rRNA from 1 species
UUCCUGCCCUAUGAUUAGUUAAAUGGCUGCAGUAUCUUGACUGUGCAAAGGUAGCAUAAUAAUUAGUCUUUUAAUUGGAGUCUUGUAUGAAUGGAUUAAUGAGAUAUUUGUUUUAUUUUUAAUAAAUUUAAAAUUUAAUAUGUAAGUAAAAAAGCUUAUAUUAUUUUUUGGGACGAUAAGACCCUAUAGAACUUGAAUUUUUAAUAAUAUUUAUUUUGUUUUUAGAAUUAAUUUCAAAUUAGUUUUAUUAAUAUUUUAGUUGGGGUGACUAAUAAAUUUUAAACUUUAUUUAAAUUUAUCAUUUAUUUAUGUUUUAUUGAUCCAUAAUUUAUGAUUAUAAGAAAAAGUUACCUUAGGGAUAACAGCGUAAUUUUAAUGGGGAGUUCAUAUCUAUAUUAAAGUUUGCGACCUCGAUGUUGAAUUAAGAUUAUAUCAGGGGGUAG